rnacentral:tRNA from 1 species
GCCUGGGUGGCUCAGUCGGUUGAGCGUCUGACUUUGGCUCAGGUCAUGAUCCCACAGUUCGUGGGUUCAAGCCCCGCAUCAGGUU